CUGAACGCCUCUAAGUCAGAAUCCGUGCUAGAAACGAUGAUGUUGGUGUCGCACAUUAGACUUGUGUUUAAAUAGAGCUUUGCUCGUGAACCAAAUAUGGUGGGCUGGGUUGUCUUUGUGGAAACGCUUGGGCGACUUGUCUACGAAUUGUAAUCAUAAUAUGGGCGGCGGUGAAUCCUUUGCAGACGACUUGAAUGGGAACGGGGUACUGUAAGUGGUAGAGUAGCCUUGUUGCUACGAUCCACUGAGGUUAAGCCCUUGUUCUAAAGAUUUGUUC
rnacentral:rRNA from 1 species